AGCAGCGUGGCUCAGUGGAAAGAGCACGGGCUUGGGAGUCAGAGGUCAUGGGUUCGAAUCCCGGCUCUGCCA
rfam:Ornithorhynchus anatinus chromosome 3, whole genome shotgun sequence.